rnacentral:rRNA from 1 species
UACGUAGGUGGCAAGCGUUGUCCGGAUUUAUUGGGUUUAAAGGGUGCGUAGGCGGUUCCAUAAGUCAGGGGUGAAAUACGGCAGCUCAACUGUCGAGGUGCCAUUGAUACUGCGGAACUUGAGUGUUGGUGAGGCAGGCGGAAUUGACGGUGUAGCGGUGAAAUGCUUAGAUAUCGUCAAGAACACCGAUAGCGAAGGCAGCUUGCCAAGCAACAACUGACGCUCAGGCACGAAAGUGCGGUGAUCAAACGGG